UUAAACCAGGAAGUCCCUCUGCCUUGCUAGGGAUCCAGGCUUGCCUUCCUGUCGAGGUAUCCCAUUUGAUCAGUUGACCUAAGUUUGAACAAACACUGCCACCUGAUGCAUGAAAACUCUACUGUGACUUACGUUAAAAGGCAACAGCACAGAGUUAAACCAGGAAGUCCCUCUGCCUUGCUAGGGAUCCAGGCUUGCCUUCCUGUCGAGGUAUCCCAUUUGAUCAGUUGACCUAAGUUUGAACAAACACUGCCACCUGAUGCAUGAAAACUCUACUGUGACCUACGUUAAAAGGAACUGACACUCCUUCAGGCUACCUUAGUCACUGGGGGCUUGUUGCAGCAUACCUGUGGCAAUGAGAGAGAGGUACAUCACAGGAGCAUCUGGCAGCAGUGGCCUCCCG